rnacentral:rRNA from 1 species
GCCCAAAACAUCUAGCCACGCCACACCCAUAAGGGUCUACAGCAGUGAUCAACAUUAAAAAUAAACGUCAGUUUGAUUUAGUCAAGUAAUACAAAGCCGGCCAAUCUGGUGCCAGCCGCCGCGGUUACACCAUGUGGCUUAAAUUGAUUUUAACACGGCGUAAAGCGUGAUUAAAGAGACAGUCUUCUGGGGUUAAAAUUUAAUUAAGCUGUCGCACGCUUAUUCUUAAGAAACUCUAUCUCGAAAGAUACCCCAACCCAUCAACUUGAAUUCACAACAAUUAGGACACAAACUGGGAUUAGAUACCCCACUAUGCCUAACCACAAACUUUAACUUACACCGCAUCGCCGGGGAACUACGAGCUAAGCUUAAAACCCAAAGGACUUGACGGUGCCCCAUAUCCCUCUAGAGGAGCCUGUCCUAUAAUCGAUACCCCCCGUUUAACCUCACCAUUCUUAGCUUUUCAGCCUGUAUACUUCCGUCGUCAGUUUACCGCGUGAGCGAACAAGUAAACUCAAUGUCCCUAGUCAAUACGUCAGGUCAAAGUGCAGCACAUGAGAUGGAAAGAGAUGGGCUACACUUUCUACUUUAGAAGACACGAAAGAUUAUGUGAAACCAUAUUCAAAAGGCGGAUUUAGUAGUAAGAAGGGCUAGAGUACCCCUCUUAACUCGGCACUGGGGUGUGUACACACCGCCCGUCACCCUCUU